CUUUGACAGCCACUCACCGCCAACGAGUUUCGAGACCGCUGACGAAUUUGAAAAGGGAAAGCGGGAGUCCAACCUCCGAUUCUUGCGGCGGCGAUUGGAAAUCUGGAUUUGCCGGCGGCCAGACAAGCGCCGACGACGCUCACCGUCUGUUCGACGGAAUGCCUCCUGGUAGCGAGGACGAGAAUGCGCUGCUGAUGAGCGCCACCGACCGAUGGCAGCAGCAAUUGUGUGCUUCUGGGUGGUAUCUCAAGUGCUAAACACCUCAAGUUGAUAUCUGAUACUGGAAAGUUCAUUUUCACAAGAGAUUUGAAACAUUGCCCUACAUUUAGCAAGUUAAAGACUUUAUUACUCAACAAGUACUGGUGCGAGGCUCCUGAUUUGGAUCCACUAUCUUGCAUUCUGGCAAACUCACCAGUUCUCGAGAAGCUCACUCUUGAACUUUCUCCCAAGUCGCAAAAUCCUAAAUUGGAGAUAAAAGGAAGCUACUGUUGCAUGGAGAGACCGUCUGCAAUAUCAGAGCACCUCGACAUAGUUGAAGUCAAGUGUGAUGUGAUCGACGAGAUAAUUCUUAAAGUAUUGAAGUUCUUGUGUGCAUCUAACAUACGAUUCAGUUUCGAGUAAGGGUGAGAUGAUCUGGGUUAUUGUCGAUCUUCCAUGUUUCAGCCAUUAGUAAUUCAAGGCUUAAGAAUAUAUAAGCAUCUUAUGCCAACUCUACUCAGAGGAACGGUGUAGAAUCCCCAGUAUAUAACUUAUGAACUCUAGACCAUCUAGCUGGACUUGGUUUUAUGGUAUUCUGUUGCACCUAAGCGUUUCUUUGUUGGAUUGGGCCCAUGACUGUUCUGUUAUGAUGGAUCUGUAUAUUUUGUUCCUCGGCUAAGACAGGGCUGUUUGGAAAAGUGCAACAGGAGGUCUAGAGUUGCACA